rfam:Corynebacterium marinum DSM 44953, complete genome.
GAGAGAUGCCCUCCUGGAUGGGGAAUAUAGACCUUCGACAAGUCGUAUUAUCCCAGUUCAGAAGGGUAUUUCUCUUUUUCCCACGCCGCUACCCCAAAAUCACAUCGGUGGAUCCAG